CUGUAAACGAUGUCGAUUUGGAGGUUGUGCCCUUGAGGCGUGGCUUCCGGAGCUAACGCGUUAAAUCGACCGCCUGGGGAGUACGGCCGCAAGGUUAAAACUCAAAUGAAUUGACGGGGGCCCGCACAAGCGGUGGAGCAUGUGGUUUAAUUCGAUGCAACGCGAAGAACCUUACCUGGUCUUGACAUCCACAGAACUUUCCAGAGAUGGAUUGGUGCCUUCGGGAACUGUGAGACAGGUGCUGCAUGGCUGUCGUCAGCUCGUGUUGUGAAAUGUUGGGUUAAGUCCCGCAACGAGCGCAACCCUUAUCCUUUGUUGCCAGCGGUUAGGCCGGGAACUCAAAGGAGACUGCCAGUGAUAAACUGGAGGAAGGUGGGGAUGACGUCAAGUCAUCAUGGCCCUUACGACCAGGGCUACACACGUGCUACAAUGGCAUAUACAAAGAGAAGCGACCUCGCGAGAGCAAGCGGACCUCAUAAAGUAUGUCGUAGUCCGGAUUGGAGUCUGCAACUCGACUCCAUGAAGUCGGAAUCGCUAGUAAUCGUAGAUCAGAAUGCUACGGUGAAUACGUUCCCGGGCCUUGUACACACCGCCCGUCACACCAUGGGAGUGGGUUGCAAAAGAAGUAGG
rnacentral:rRNA from 1 species